rnacentral:rRNA from 1 species
AUGAAGCUUCAGGUAGCCACGGUAGCCAUCUUCCUCCUGGUGACCGUGGCCACGUCGGCCCGGGCUGUGACGUUCGACGCGUCGAACAUGGCGUCGGACACCACCGGCGGCCAGUGCUUCGACCAGGCCGCCGGCCUCGCGUACUCAAAGCAGGUCCUCUCCGACGCCUCAACCUUCAUCUGGAGCACCUUCAACCAGGGCGCCGUGGCCGACCGCAAGCCCGUGGACGCCGUCACCCUCGUCGUGGAGGAGUUCGACGGCCUCGCCUACGUGUAG